rnacentral:lncRNA from 1 species
AUUCUUUAAAAUUUUAUAAUUUAUAAAAUAAUUUGGUUAAAUUUAUAUUUGGUAAAUUAAUUUUUUCCGCACGUAGAAUGCAUUAUUAGAAUUUUUAUUUAAUUCUCAGAAUUAUAUAAAUAAAUUAUUAAAAUUUUUAAAUUAUUAAAAUUAUAUAUUAUUUAUUAAAAUUUUUAUUUAAUUAUUAUAAUUAUAUAUGAUAUAAGAUAUAAAAAUAAUAAUAAAUAAGUAAAAAAUGAUGAAUAAUUUAUUGCAUGAAAAAUUAGAAAGUCGGUAAAUCGUUAACCAUUUUUAUAAAAGUAAUAAAUCAUUCAUCAUUUUUUAAAAAAAAUUAAUACGGCUCUUACCGGACAAAAAAUAAUUAGGUUCGUCAAAAAAAUUUAUAAGAUUGUUUAUGUAAAUAAUAAAUU